AUACCUUUCUCGGCCUUUUGGCUAAGAUCAAGUGUAGUAUCUGUUCUUAUCAGUUUAAUAUCUGAUACCUGGGCCAUCGGCCCACAUGAUAUUAAAUAAAUUUAUCUUGGGGGAAGGCCCAUCACAGGAGCUUGCUACUUGGGCCUUCAAGCGUCGCCCAUGCGUUGCACUACUGCACGGGCCUGGCGCACCCCCU
rnacentral:snRNA from 1 species